rnacentral:rRNA from 1 species
CCUACGGGAGGCAGCAGUGGGGGAUAUUGCACAAUGGGGGGAACCCUGAUGCAGCGACGCCGCGUGGGUGAAGGAGCGUUUCGGCGCGUAAAGCCCUAUCGGCAGGGAAGAAGGAGGACGGUACCUGACUAAGAAGCCCCGGCUAACUACGUGCCAGCAGCCGCGGUAACACGUAGGGGGCAAGCGUUAUCCGGAUUUACUGGGUGUAAAGGGGGCGCAGACGGCAGCGCAAGCCAGGGGUGAAAGCCCGGGGCCCAACCCCGGGACUGCUCUUGGAACUGCGCGGCUGGAGUGACGGAGGGGAGGGCGAAAUGCCGGGUGUGGCGGGGAAUGCGUAGAUAUCAGGAGGAACACCGGUGGCGAAGGCGGCCUGCUGGACUGCGACUGACGUUGAGGCCCGAAAGCGUGGGGAGCAAACAGGAUUAGAUACCCUUGUAGUC